rnacentral:rRNA from 1 species
UACGGAGGGUGCAAGCGUUAAUCGGAAUUACUGGGCGUAAAGCGCACGCAGGUGGCUGAGUCAGUCGAUUGUGAAAGCCCUGGGCUUAACCUGGGAAUUGCAGUCGAUACUACUCAGCUAGAGUAUGGGGAGAGGGUAGUGGAAUUCCCGGUGUAGCGGUGAAAUGCGUAGAGAUCGUAAGGAAGACCAGUGGCGAAGGCGGGUCUCUGGACAGUUCCUGACGCUGAGGCACGAAG